rnacentral:tRNA from 1 species
GGCUCCUUAGCUCAAUGGUCGAGCGGUCGGCCUAUAACCGAUUGAUGGCAGUUCAAUUCUGCCAGGAGCUA